rnacentral:miRNA from 1 species
GUGGGGUAGGCAGCAGGUACCAUUGACUAAAGCUAGUAUUAUAGGCUUGCCUCUAGCUUUGGUAGCUUUUGCUAAGUUCUCUGC